CAGUUCCGUCGUAUCAUCCCAAUCAAAUACUUCUUUGCCCGCUCGUCGUUUGGGUUGGCGAUGCUGUCUUUUCUGGUGGCGUUCACCUGCAACAUCUACCUACAGAUAUAUGGCUGGCAGAAGACGAAGUCGAAGGACUUGAUUCCAUUCAUAUUGGAGCUCACCGCCUUCCCUUUCAUCUGUUUCCUGGUGUUAUUCUUUUAUGGCUCCAAGUUCGGUCUAUCUUUUCUUUUUCAUUCUUGGCGUUGAGUCAACAAGCAUGAUCGUCCACACGAAUCUGGCAGGUUCAUGAUGUACGUGGGUUGUACCUAUUACGGUAUGUCGCCUGUUCCAGUGGUAUGCGGUGGUAGAAGUCAUUGGACAGUUAAAUAUCUUGUGUGUACAAGCAGCAACAAAGGCAUGUUAUAUGUGGCCGCUAUUUGAUUGUAACUUUAAUGUGGUCUUUUCUUCUAUCUUAAAUUAGAUAAUGAUAUAGGCGCCACGGUAGACAACAAAUCUGAUCACCAAUAAUGGUGAUGGCCCAUCAAUACUGAAUAAUGGUGAUGGCCCUGCCUAUUGUUUUUGGACUAAUGUCCAUAUGACAUAGCUGUUGAUGGGAUCUUAUCCUCUCACCGUUGACUGUAUUGUCAUGUAAGAUAUGCAUGGACGUCCUUUCGUUUUCCCAGAGAUCGGCUAGAAGAUAGGAUCGAGUCUUAUUGAAUCUUCUGUGACAAUCAAGUAGUCUUUAUCGUACAAUUUUGGCCCACCAAAGUUUGCACAGGCAAACGAAAUGAUUGGCUUAUAGAAGCCGAUCGUUCAAGAAGUGAAGGACGUCAAUUUUGGAUUGAAAAAAGAUCAUUUAGCUUUUCAAAAAAGAAAAAGAAUAACCUUUAUAAAAUGGAUAGAAAACUCUCCGUGGAGGCCUUUACACCGCUCCUUAGCAGCAUCCAUGGACUGGAGUCAAUAAGAAACAUUUAAGAAAAGAUAGAAACAGACGUAUCGUUGUCCAAAGAGUGAAGAAGACAAACUAACCACAAGCAAUGCUCGUCUAUUUUAAUGACCUGUCACAAGUCUAAUACAGCCACAAAACAUUAAAAAAAAGGAAGAAGCUUGUUUAUGAGGUGCCAAAGGUUAUGGACAUCUAUCUGAUUCACGCACGGAAUGGUCACCAUCCCCGAGCACCUCUUUCGAAGCCAAUUGUUUGGUCGGCACCUUUGAUUCCUUUCUCUGUAUCUGUCCAAGUGCUGCUCGCCCUUUCUCAAGUACUUUCUAAUCCUCUAUCCAUCUCUCCAUUUUUAUUUUUCUACUUUUACUGUUAUAAUAAGUUUUUUAAAUUAUUUUUAUUACAUUAAAUUACAUAUAAGACAUCCUUAUAUAAACAUAUCAUUAUAUUGCCACGACUAUAUAGACGCUUAUUCUAUAUACAAACUAGAAAUAGACAAAAGGAUACCAAUAAAAUAAAGAGACACCGCAAUAAGAAUCGGAUUUGGUAAAGUAUUUUCCUCAAACGAGCUUGGAGGAUCGGAUAAGAGUUUUGUAAAGAGACCACUGCUCCUGAAAUGAAAACCAAUCGUCGUGCUUUCAAUUAAUAAAACCAAUCAUGCAUACCGUUUUCUAAAGUGUUCAAUGAGGAGACAACAUAAGUAAUUGUCAGUUCACGCAUAUUACUUACCGUACGCAGAAGGAGGCGUAGGUACGUCGGUCGAUGGUCACUUGAUCUCCUUCCUGGCCAUCAUAUAAAGGGAGGCCUUCAGGUGCUCAUCUAAGACCACCAAGGGUACGUGAAGGUUGAAGACGUAGCCAUGGAUCCUUCGGGAAGCCAUUCGGCCCUCGCAACAGAUAACAGUGAUGACGAGAAUAGACGACCUAGCGUCUUCGACGUGGAUCACUUUUGCACCGUGACGUCUCUGAUUCAGCAGGAGAAGUACGAGGAUCUAUUACCCCUAGCCAUGAAGAAGGAUCCUCCACUCAACCUCAUGGAGGACCCUGUGCUCAACGUCGUCAUCGAAUACAAGAAGACCGACCUCGCCAAACGGCAGAUUCAAAACAUGCCCGCGGAGAAGAAGCCCGCGGAGAAGCCCGGACCGCUGUGGUACGCUAAUUACCACGGCGACACGGCUCUCCAUGUCGCGGCCACCGUGGGUGACCUCGACGUGGCCAAGGCGUUGGUCUGGAAGAACUCAGAACUCAGAACUCGUCAGUGCACGCAACUGGAAGAACGAGACACCGCUGCACAAAGCGGCGCUGUACGGGCACGAGACGAUGUUCUGGGACCUGGUGGAAAUGGGGUCGCACGCCCCGGACGAGCGGAGGGAGGACGGCGCCACCGUGCUGCACUGUGCCAUCAUGGGCAGCGCGCCGGGUGAGUUGUAAUCAAUUCCAGGAAGCCAUAGUCAUAUAUAGCUCCUUUCUUGUUUUCCAAAAAUAUGUUUACAUAGUUGAAUUGUAAUGUAGCUUUAGCACUGAAGAUUGCCAAGACAUAUCCACCGCUGAUCACGUCGCGGAAUGAUGAUGCGGUGACUCCGAUGCAGCUGACGGUGACAAUUCCAGGGUUAUUCCGAAGCCUAACGAAUCUUGGGCCCUUAGAGGCCGUAAUUUAUAAGCGUGAGUCGUAAUGUAAUUUCUAGGAUUUACAUCACCAUAAAACAUUCACAGCAUGUAGUUAUGGUAACUAAGGCUUUGUUACAUCAAAUAAAAGCACACCAAUAUGCAUGCUAGCUCUUGAAACUUCAUGGCUGUAUACUUUGAUUGCAAUGUUGCAGUGAUUCCAUACGAAGACUCCAGCGAGCCACGUGCAGUAGAUGAAGAGACAACCAGGGUCUCGAGCGCUGUUGAAGUAUGUGCUUCCGGAUGAAUCAUUUUGUUUUGCAUGAUGGCAUUGAUAUAGUUCAUGAGGUCGAUAGCAUCUUUUCUACUACUUGUCAAUAAUAUUUAUCACAAAAUUUAAGAGCAGUUUUUUCCUCAAACUAGACAAUAUAAAGUUUGAUCUACCAUGUGUUAGAAAUUUUUGUAAUAUCAGUCGAAGUCAUUCUGGUUAGGGUUAACGAAUUACCCUUUUAGGAUAUUUCUAUUCAUCUCACACAUAUGAAUAUGGGUUUUGAAAGUCUUUCACAUAUUCACAAAGGUUUAAACUUAAUACAUGUAACUCAAUUUUUAAGUCUUUCUCUUCUUUGAAGGGUUCAAACUUUGAGUUCAUAUAUUUUUUAACUUUACGAUACGGUUCACAUAUCUACAUCUAUCCAAUGGUACGACUCAUCUACAUUCAGUGGCUGGAAUAUUAUGUAAUUUUUUUUUAGAAACGAUAAGUUUGAGCCAUAUUCUAGUUAGGGUUAAUGUAUAUUAGGUCAUACGUCAUACAUCAAUUGAAUCUAGAAACUUUGAUUAUUAUAUUAUCAAUCAAAUUUAGUAUAUGUAACUAGACUCUUUCAAUUAUUAGUAACAUGAGACUAUCCUCUUAGAAUAUUUCUUUUCAUCUCAUAUAUGAUUUGUCCCUGCACGAGUAUUAUUUCCUUGUAUUGUCUCUGACGUUGGCGUCUACAUGUACUUAAUAAGGGAGGUGCAAAAUAUAUCAAGCGAAAGGUUGUGUCUCUUCUGCCCCCCAAAACGUUUCGUUCGAAAUUCCCAUCUCACUACAGCAGUCUCUUUGACCUGCGGGAAUUGAUGUUCAUCCCAGGUACUCACUCCUACGAGCUUCUCUAUUUACAUUUCUUACCUGGAUCUUAUUGUUGGAUCACAGUACUACACUGAUUCGUGCUUCUGUUGAUGCAGCCAGAUGGGUUCAUUUGUUGCUUUUCCGCAUUCUAAAGCAAUGUAAGUCAUUGUUCGUGGAUGGAUGCAUGAUGUUUAGACAUGUUGUCCUUUUCCAAUUAAUGUUAGUGGAAUUGCAAUGCAUCAUGCAGUGUUCCCUAUGAUCGAACGUCUGGAGAAGCAAAAGAAAACCCACAAGGAAACCUUGGAACUGAUCGAGUUCUUAGCCUAUUAUCCUAGGCACAUGGAGUUCUAUUCCAAGGGAAGACGAAAAGGCAAGGAGGAAAGUCUUCUUGUUGGAGACAUCACCAGUUCUACAACAAGACAGUCUCCUCCGUCAACAGACGCUGGUGAAGGCCAAGGAGUAAAUGGAGGAGGGAACCGAGAUCAAGACUUUGAUAGGUUUGCGGAAAAGCUAUUUAUGUAUAUGUCGCACAAGGAUGCCAAUCACGAAGCAGUAGCAAAAGAGCUCAAGAAGAGCAUGAAGGAGUCGAUGGAGGAAGUGUCCGGUGAAUCCACAAUUAGAAGAUGGGACGAGCCGCCCCUGAUCUUGGGUGCACAAAUGGGUCUUCCUGAGUUCGUCAGGACGAUCUUGCUAGUAUGUUCGCAGGCAGCAGCAUACCUGGACACCAAGGGGAGAAGCGUUCUCCAAGUCGCAGUCAUGUAUCGUCGCGAGGAGAUUGUCAAGAUCAUAAUGGACAUGAGAAACAUUUUACCAUCCUGGUUAUUUUCCGAAAUCGAACCCAAAACCGGGAACACCAUCGUGCAUCUUGCUUCACGUGGAAGCCCUGAUGUAGCAAAGGAAGCGCAAGACGAACCGGAUGCAAUGCAACUGCAUUACGAUUUAGUAUGGUUUGAGGUAAAGUUGCUAAACUUUUUUGCCCCCCUCCUCAAAUUUUGACAUGCUUCUCAAAAGUAUUAUCCGUUCAAUUCUUUGACAUGCAUUCUUCGGUGUCGGUUGUGGGUUAUUCGCGCAUAAUACAAAAUAACCAACAAAUACACAAAUAAAAUCUACGUAUUCUCAGAGUUGCGUACUAAAUUUGAUCGUUUUCUGACAUUUGAAUGCAGACGGUGAGAGAUAUGGUUCCUAAGGAAUUAGUGUACAGUCGGAACGCGCAAACGAAGACCGCAGAAGAGAUGUUUACUGAGAGUCACCGAGCGAUGCUAAAGAGUUACAAGGGUCAACUAAUGGAAACGGGCAGGACGUGUUCAGGGCUUGUCGCUGCUGUAGUGUUCGCGUCGAGCUUCUCCAUCCCCGGCGAUAAGGACCCAGCGACCGGCAACCCGGUUUACUUCGGUAGGCCAGCUUUUAAGGUCUUCUCACAUGCGUACGUGAUUGGGUUGUCAUGCGCCGCCACAUCUCUGGUGUUGUUCUUAUCCCUCGCUAUGUCACCUUACAACGAGCAGCAGUUCCAUCGUAUCAUCCCAACCAAAUACUUCUUUGCCCGCUCGUCGUUUGCGAUGGCGAUGCUGUCUUUUCUGGUGGCGUUCACCUGCAACAUCUACCUACAGAUGUAUGGCUGGCAGAAGGCGAAGUCGAAGGACUUGAUUCCAUUCGUAUUGGAGCUCACCGUCUUCCCCGUCAUCUGUUUCCUGGUGUUGUUCUUUCGUGGCUCCGAUUUCGUCUUUGGGGUUGAGUCAACAAGCAUGAUCGUCCACAUCGUUGGAAUCUGCAGCUUCAUGAUGCACGUGGGUUGUAC
rnacentral:lncRNA from 1 species